GAGAUCGAUCUGCCUACGCUCCAAUAAAAAAAAACGAUCUGCCCUACGCUCGUUCUGCCGGCUGCCGGCUGCCGGCUGCCGCCCAGCUUCCCUUCCUCUGCUCCUCGCCGCGCGCUAGCUCGGCCCCACUCCAUCGUGCUUCCUGCCCGGCUCCACCAGCUCCAUCCCCUCAGUUCUGCAGGUGGUAGUCCAUGUGCCGCUGCUGCCGACCAACUCCUCCACCAGAUCCGCCGCCGUGCAAGUUUAUGUUAGGGAAAGAAGGAUUCGAGUACCACAAGACAAAAAAGUGAGCAGAAGCAAUGCUGUAAUUGGUGGGUCCAGUGUGUACAAAGUACAGACUACAUUUAAUUGCUGGCUCGCGAGAUGAGACCUAGUAGUUGAACCUAAGCAUAUAGUAGUAGCUGAAUAUAAAAUACUAUACAUUUUGUUACGGGGUAUCGUCCUCAUCUGGUUGGAUUAUUAUUGUCUCAAAAUGCCGUCUGGUAUUUCUUAAUCA